UACGGGAGGCAGCAGUAAAAAAUAUUGCACAAUGGACGAAAGUCUGAUGCAGCAACGCCGCGUGGAGGAUGACACAUUUCGGUGCGUAAACUCCUUUUAUAUGGGAAGAUAAUGACGGUACCAUAUGAAUAAGCACCGGCUAACUCCGUGCCAGCAGCCGCGGUAA
rnacentral:rRNA from 1 species